ACAACAUCUGAUGGGUUUAUCAGGGGUUUCUGCUUUUGCUUCUUCCUCAUUUUCUCUUGCCUCUGCUAUGUAAGAAAACCUUUCACCUCCCACCAUGAUUUUGAGACCUCCCCAGCCAAGUGGAACUGAAGGGUCCUGUCCUGUACCCGGGAGGAAGAAAUGCUACACAGAGAAGCCAAGAUGAAUCUGAACAGACAGCCUUUGAUGUUAGAAGACACUGAGGCAUCAACAGGGUUUAAUUCCAUACUCUGUCAUCGAAUAUAGCAAUUGUAAUUGCACCAAUCAGCACUUUGUGUCAAGCUCAAGAUUUGUAAAUGCACCGAUCAGCACUCUGUGUCUAGCUCAAGGUUUGUAAACGUAACUGUGUCUAGCUCAAGGUUUGUAAAUGCACCAAUCAGUGCUCUGUGUCUAGCUAAUCUACUGGGGACUUGGAGAACUUUUGCGGCUAGGUAAAGGAUUGUAAACGGACCAAUCAGCUCUCUGUAAAACGGACCAAUCAGCUCUCUGUAAAAUGGACCAAUCAGCUCUCUGUAAAAUGGACCAAUCAGCAGGAUGUGGGUGGAGUCAGACAAGGGAAUAAAAGCAUACUGCCUGAGUCAGCAGGGGUGAGCAAGCAGAGGUGAGCCAGCAGGGGUAACCUGCUCGCAUCCCCUUCCACGCUGUGGAAGCUUUGUUCUUCUGCUUUUUGCUAUAAAUCUUGCUGCAGCUCACUCUCUGGGUGGGGCUGCCUUUAUGAGCUGUGAGUUGUAACACUCACCGCAGAGGUCUGCAGCUUCACUCCUGAGGCCAGUGAGACCAUGAACCCACCGGAGGGAAUGAGCAACUCCAGACACACUGCCUUUAAGAACUGUAACACUCGGUUUGAGAGUCCGUGGCUUCAUUCUUGAAGUCAGCAAGACCAAGAACCCACAAAUUCCAGACACAUAAUGACCAUAGCAACUUAAUCAGAACUCAGUGAGUAGUAGAUUUGAACUUAAGAAAAUGCAACAAAAACUAAAGUAGGUUUUACUAAAAUAUAUGAUUUAAUAAACUCUAAAUCUACAGAUUUUGCUGAAGUUCUUAUAAUUGGGUCAUAGCAGUAAAUUCAAUAAACGACUUCUAAAAUGCUUUAAUGGUGUUUGUGUCCUGGACAUGAUUUUCCCCAAGAAGAACUGUUGUAUUCACCCUACCUUUAACUGUUUCUAGUCAGUUCCACAGAUUCCAUAAAAGUUAACUCCAGAGCAGAGAAUGAUGCCACAGUCGGGAUAACAUCCAAUAUUUGCAAUCAGAAGAAAUAUGAGAGUCUUGCUCCAUCACCCAGGCUGCAGUGCAGUGGCACGAUCUUGGCUCACUGCAAGCUCCACCUCCCGGGUUCACGCCAUUCUCCUGCCUCAGCCUCCCAAGUAGCUGGGACUACAGGCGCCCACCACCACGCCCAGCUAAAUUUUUUUGUAUUUUUAGUAGAGAUGGGGUUUCACUGUGUUAGCCAGGAUGGUCUCGAUUUCCUGACCUCGUGAUCUGCCUGCCUCGGCCUCCCAAAGUGCUGGGAUUACAGGCGUGAGCCACUGUGCCCGGCCGUAAUUAUUCUUUUCGUGUUAAGCAAUGGUAAAAGAACUGACUGAAAAUAAGAAUAUUAAAAAGUUUCUCUGCUAAAAACAGAAAAUUAUGUUUGUUACCAUUCCUACUAUAACCCCAGUGAUAUGGC
rnacentral:lncRNA from 1 species